ensembl:rRNA 5S_rRNA 5S ribosomal RNA
GUCAGCAGCCAUAUCACCCUGCAACUCACAACAGGCAGCCCACUGAAGCACUAAGCAGGUGUGAGCCUGGUCAGUACCUGGAUGGGAGACCUCCUGGGAAAAACUAAGGUUGCUGCUGGAA